rnacentral:rRNA from 1 species
UAAUGGGUCAGCGACUUAUAUUCUGUAGCAAGGUUAACCGAAUAGGGGAGCCGAAGGGAAACCGAGUCUUAACUGGGCGUUAAGUUGCAGGGUAUAGACCCGAAACCCGGUGAUCUAGCCAUGGGCAGGUUGAAGGUUGGGUAACACUAACUGGAGGACCGAACCGACUAAUGUUGAAAAAUUAGCGGAUGACUUGUGGCUGGGGGUGAAAGGCCAAUCAAACCGGGAGAUAGCUGGUUCUCCCCGAAAGCUAUUUAGGUAGCGCCUCGUGAAUUCAUCUCCGGGGGUAGAGCACUGUUUCGGCAAGGGGGUCAUCCCGACUUACCAACCCGAUGCAAACUGCGAAUACCGGAGAAUGUUAUCACGGGAGACACACGGCGGGUGCUAACGUCCGUCGUGAAGAGGGAAACAACCCAGACCGCCAGCUAAGGUCCCAAAGUCAUGGUUAAGUGGGAAACGAUGUGGGAAGGCCCAGACAGCCAGGAUGUUGGCUUAGAAGCAGCCAUCAUUUAAAGAAAGCGUAAUAGCUCACUGGUCGAGUCGGCCUGCGCGGAAGAUGUAACGGGGCUAAACCAUGCACCGAAGCUGCGGCAGCGACGCUUAUGCGUUGUUGGGUAGGGGAGCGUUCUGUAAGCCUGUGAAGGUGUACUGUGAGG